GCGGGGAUAGCUCAGUUGGGAGAGCGUCAGACUGAAGAUCUGAAGGUCACGUGUUCGGUCCAUGUUCACCCCA
rnacentral:tRNA from 1 species